UUUAGAUGACAAAUCUAAUCAAGUUUCUCUUAAAAAUGUCAAUGAAUGAAAAUGGAUCCACUGACUCAAACCUGGAAUCAUAUGUUCAACUUCAUAAGCUCUUCAGCAGCAAAAUGUGUAGUUCAGCUAGGCAUCCCAGAUGUCCUCUACAAACAUGAUUCUUGAUGAUAAUAAGAAGGAUUUGAUCCCGGUUUGGUUGAUGGAACAUAUUAGAUCUGAUUUUGUUUCAAGAUGAAUGUUAUAUUAGUGUUAUCAUCAUGUAAAUCUGUUAAAAAUUAGUUAAAUUAUCGUUUUCUUCUUUAUAUAUGUGAUUGAAAUUGCAUUCUGUUAAGAUUACUUAGUUUAAGGAAAAGAUAAAGACCCCACUUUUAACCAUGUUUGUUUAGUUUGGGCUCUUUUCCGUGAGUUACUUUCGUGGUUCAUGAAUAAUUAUCUAAGAAAGACUUCUAGCUUCAAAUGUUUUGAUGAUUUGAAUUAUAGUCAACAUAAUGUUAUACUUAAUAUAGUUCUGCUCUUUAGCAUUGAAA